GACCUUGAGCAAGACACUUAACUUCUCGAGCCCGAGUUUAUUCAACUGGGAAACAGGAAUAAGAAUAUUCACUGAGUCUGUGUCGGGACCCAAUUACCAUCCUCACCAAGCCUCCUACCCAAGUGAGCUCCUACAGUGUGCGACGUGGUGUGCAACGUGGCGUGCGACGUGGCGUGCGUGGGAGCCGCUUUCUUGGCCCGAUCUCCUUCACUCCUCGCCACCAUUCGUGGACAGACGUGAGCUCGCAGCUAGCGGGACUUGGACUUGACAGGUUCUUUAGACGGAUAGAGAAGGAUGGAAAGUCAGAAGUGCUUAGGGGCUGACAAUUUCCCCCCACUCUGCGUAGUCUGCGCGGAUCCUGAUGGAGAUGAGAAGGUGUGUGAGCAAACAAGUGGAAACUGAAAAUGCAUGGAGUGUUUCUGAGGAAUAGGGAUGGUGACACCGUGGGCAACCUUCUUCUUUGUGUCUCCAGGAGAGAGAGUUUCCACCAUCUACCGGGAAGCAGCGGAAGCCAGGGAAGCUUCCAAAGAUCCACCGUGUGUUUCAUCCAUCUGGGUCCCAACUG